GAGGGUAUGGCUUAAGUAGUAGAGUGAGUGCUCAGCAUGCAUGAGGUCCUGGGUUCAAUUCCCAGUACCUCCU
rnacentral:tRNA from 1 species